rnacentral:rRNA from 1 species
AGGCAGCAGUGGGGGAUAUGCACAAUGGGGGAAACCCUGAUGCAGCGACGCCGCGUGGGCGAAGAAGUAUUUCGGUAUGUAAAGCCCUAUCAGCAGGGAAGAAGAAAUGACGGUACCUGAGUAAGAAGCACCGGCUAAAUACGUGCC